UAAACCGACCCUGUUGUCAUG
rnacentral:piRNA from 1 species